rnacentral:tRNA from 1 species
ACCCUAUAGUAUAAAAAUAAUAUUAAAUUGCAAGUUUAAAGAUGUGCUGGUCACUAGGGUUU